GUGCUUGCGCUAAAUGAAACUAGAUACAAGCGAGCGGCGGACGGGUGAGUAACACGUGGGUAACCUGCCCAAGAGACUGGGAUAACACCUGGAAACAGAUGCUAAUACCGGAUAACAACACUAGACGCAUGUCUAGAGUUUGAAAGAUGGUUCUGCUAUCACUCUUGGAUGGACCUGCGGUGCAUUAGCUAGUUGGUAAGGUAACGGCUUACCAAGGCAAUGAUGCAUAGCCGAGUUGAGAGACUGAUCGGCCACAUUGGGACUGAGACACGGCCCAAACUCCUACGGGAGGCAGCAGUAGGGAAUCUUCCACAAUGGACGAAAGUCUGAUGGAGCAACGCCGCGUGAGUGAAGAAGGGUUUCGGCUCGUAAAGCUCUGUUGGUAGUGAAGAAAGAUAGAGGUAGUAACUGGCCUUUAUUUGACGGUAAUUACUUAGAAAGUCACGGCUAACUACGUGCCAGCAGCCGCGGUAAUACGUAGGUGGCAAGCGUUGUCCGGAUUUAUUGGGCGUAAAGCGAGUGCAGGCGGUUCAAUAAGUCUGAUGUGAAAGCCUUCGGCUCAACCGGAGAAUUGCAUCAGAAACUGUUGAACUUGAGUGCAGAAGAGGAGAGUGGAACUCCAUGUGUAGCGGUGGAAUGCGUAGAUAUAUGGAAGAACACCAGUGGCGAAGGCGGCUCUCUGGUCUGCAACUGACGCUGAGGCUCGAAAGCAUGGGUAGCGAACAGGAUUAGAUACCCUGGUAGUCCAUGCCGUAAACGAUGAGUGCUAAGUGUUGGGAGGUUUCCGCCUCUCAGUGCUGCAGCUAACGCAUUAAGCACUCCGCCUGGGGAGUACGACCGCAAGGGUUGAAACUCAAAGGAAUUGAC
rnacentral:rRNA from 1 species